UACGGAGGAUCCAAGCGUUAUCCGGAUUUAUUGGGUUUAAAGGGUGCGUAGGUGGUUUUUUAAGUCAGGGGUGAAAGACGGCAGCUUAACUGUCGCAGUGCCUUUGAUACUGAAGAACUUGAAUUAACUAGAGGUAGGCGGAAUGUGACAAGUAGCGGUGAAAUGCAUAGAGAUGACAUAGAACACCAAUUGCGAAGGCAGCUGGCUACACAUAUAUUGACACUGAGGCUCGAAAGCGUGGGGAUCAAACAGG
rnacentral:rRNA from 1 species